CCUACGGGUGGCUGCAGUGAGGAAUAUUGGUCAAUGGACGAGAGUCUGAACCAGCCAAGUAGCGUGAAGGAUGACUGCCCUAUGGGUUGUAAACUUCUUUUAUAUGGGAAUAAAAUGUUCCACGUGUGGGCUUUUGUAUGUACCAUAUGAAUAAGGAUCGGCUAACUCCGUGCCAGCAGCCGCGGUAAUACGGAGGAUCCGAGCGUUAUCCGGAUUUAUUUGGUUUAAAGGGAGCGUAGGUGGAUUGUUAAGUCAGUUGUGAAAGUUUGCGGAGCAACCGUAAAAUUGCAGUUGAAACUGGCAGUCUUGAGUACAGUAGAGGUGGGCGGAAUUCGUGGUGUAGCGGUGAAAUGCUUAGAUAUCACGAAGAACUCCGAUUGCGAAGGCAGCUCACUGGACUGCAACUGACACUGAGGCUCGAAAGUGUGGGUAUCAAACAGGAUUAGAUACCCGUGUAGUC
rnacentral:rRNA from 1 species